ACAAGGGCCCUGCAUUUCCUCUCAGCUUCUGAUAAGGGUGAGGAACACUGAAGACCCAGGAUACAAUCCAAAUUUUCUCGUAAUAUGAAGAAACGGGAAAAUAUGACCCAUAUUCAAGAGAAAAAGGUAUCAACUAAGACGAAAGCUGAGAUGAACUGGGGACUGGAAAUCACAGACAAGGAUUUUAAAGCAUCUCUUAUAACUAUGUUCAAGGACACAAAGGAAAAUAUGCUUAUUAUGAUAAAAAGAUAGGAAAUCUCAGCAGCAAAAUGAAAACUAC
rnacentral:lncRNA from 1 species